CAAAUACUCCCUCCGUCCGGAAAUACUUGUCGUAAAAAUAGAUACAAAUAGGUGUAUCUAGAACUAAAAUACAUGUAGAUACAUCCAUUCCUUGGACAAGUAUUUCCGGACGGAGGGAGUACUUG
rnacentral:pre_miRNA from 1 species